UCUAGGCUUAGUUGCAUUGGCGAUUAGGGCUUCAACAUAAGAAUUUUGGGGAGACACAAACACAAAGCAGUGAGUUUCAAAGACAGAAGGACUUGAGUUCUCCAGAUAUGUCCAGUCAAGAUUCAACCACCAUCUUAGAAGAAAACGAAGACAAAUCCUUUCUACCAGCACAGUAGUUUUCAACCAGCUAAACAUUACAUCACCCGGGGGAGCAUGGAGAGACCAUCAGUGUCUGGAGCCCUACGGUAAGCUUCUGUGUUAUCUGAAGACCACUUGAUUGAUCACCAGAUGUCUGGAAACCUCACUUCAGGAAACCCUGCUCCACGUAUUUGAGGAAUGGAAACUGAUGCAACAUCUGGGUUAAAAUUAUUCAGAAGUGUAAGAGUUAAGAGAUGUUGCUCACCUCUACCCUUUUCGUGCAUCUACUUCUAUGGUGGAGAGGCUCAAAGCCAUUCCCAGAUUCUGAGCCUAGACCUUAUACUUUCUUCUCCACAUUUGAGGACUUUUUAUUAAUUGUUUGCAAGCUUUCAUGGCAUUGGCAGUGGGGGAACAGAACUUUUCCCCCCC